rnacentral:rRNA from 1 species
UCGACGCUUCUUUUUCCACCGGAGCUUGCUCCACCGGAAAAAGAGGAGUGGCGAACGGGUGAGUAACACGUGGGUAACCUGCCCAUCAGAAGGGGAUAACACUUGGAAACAGGUGCUAAUACCGUAUAACAAUCAAAACCGCAUGGUUUUGAUUUGAAAGGCGCUUUCGGGUGUCGCUGAUGGAUGGACCCGCGGUGCAUUAGCUAGUUGGUGAGGUAACGGCUCACCAAGGCCACGAUGCAUAGCCGACCUGAGAGGGUGAUCGGCCACAUUGGGACUGAGACACGGCCCAAACUCCUACGGGAGGCAGCAGUAGGGAAUCUUCGGCAAUGGACGAAAGUCUGACCGAGCAACGCCGCGUGAGUGAAGAAGGUUUUCGGAUCGUAAAACUCUGUUGUUAGAGAAGAACAAGGAUGAGAGUAACUGUUCAUCCCUUGACGGUAUCUAACCAGAAAGCCACGGCUAACUACGUGCCAGCAGCCGCGGUAAUACGUAGGUGGCAAGCGUUGUCCGGAUUUAUUGGGCGUAAAGCGAGCGCAGGCGGUUUCUUAAGUCUGAUGUGAAAGCCCCCGGCUCAACCGGGGAGGGUCAUUGGAAACUGGGAGACUUGAGUGCAGAAGAGGAGAGUGGAAUUCCAUGUGUAGCGGUGAAAUGCGUAGAUAUAUGGAGGAACACCAGUGGCGAAGGCGGCUCUCUGGUCUGUAACUGACGCUGAGGCUCGAAAGCGUGGGGAGCAAACAGGAUUAGAUACCCUGGUAGUCCACGCCGUANACGAUGAGUGCUAAGUGUUGGAGGGUUUNCGCCCUUCAGUGCUGCAGCUAACGCAUUAAG